GCACUGCUGAGGAGUCCCAUAAUAGGAUGAAACAACUGUCCAGUGC
rnacentral:hammerhead_ribozyme from 1 species